UACGUAGGUGGCAAGCGUUAUCCGGAAUUACUGGGCGUAAAGCGCACGCAGGCGGUCUCUUAAGUUUGACGUGAAAGCUCCCGGCUUAACUGGGAGAGGUCGUUGAAGACUGGGAGACUUGAGGCAAGGAGAGGGGUGUAGAAUUCCCGGUGUAGUGGUGGAAUGCGUAGAUAUCGGGGGGAAUACCAGUGGCGAAAGCGACACCCUAGCCUUAGCCUGACGCUGAGGCGCGAAAGCUAGGGGAGCAAACGGG
rnacentral:rRNA from 1 species